rnacentral:rRNA from 1 species
GACGAACGCUGGCGGCGUGCUUAACACAUGCAAGUCGAACGGAAAGGCCCUGCUUUUGUUGGGUGCUCGAGUGGCGAACGGGUGAGUAACACGUGAGUAACCUGCCCUUGACUUUGGGAUAACUUCAGGAAACUGGGGCUAAUACCGGAUAGGAGCUCCUGCUGCAUGGUGGGGGUUAGAAAGUUUCGGCGGUUGGGGAUGGACUCGCGGCUUAUCAGCUUGUUGGUGGGGUAGUGGCUUACCAAGGCUUUGACGGGUAGCCGGCCUGAGAGGGUGACCGGAGACAUGGGGACGGAGAUACGGCCAAGAAGCCUACGGGAGGCAGCAGUGGGGAAUAUUGCACAAUCGGCGGAAGCCUGAGGCAGCAACGCCGCGUGCGGGAUGACGGCCUUCGGGUUGUAAACCGCUUUCGCCUGUGACGAAGCGUGAGUGACGGUAAUGGGUAAAGAAGCACCGGCUAACUACGUG